AAUACUGCGCAAGUAUGAAAGCGCCAAUCAGCCACCCCGCGUGAGCGCGACGUCUUCUUAUCGUAAAGCUUUGUGGGGGAAUUAGAAAAAGGACCCGUAGAGCCGUGCAUGUAUGUAUACAUGUACCAAGCACCUCCUAACUCGCUCCAGCAGCCGUGGUAAUACGGCGGGUGCAAUCGUGGCUCAGAAUCAUUGAAGGUAAAGCCGCGUAGGCGGCUUGUCAAUUCGGAUGUGAAAGCCCUGGGCUCAACCCGGGAAGUGCAUCCAAAAGUGGUAGGCUUGAAUCUGAGAGAGGGUGAAAGAAUUCCCGGUGUAGAGGUGAAAUUGGUAGAUAUCAGGAGGAAUACCACCGCGAAGGCGCUGGCCUGGAUGAAGAUUGACGAUGAGGGGCGAAAGCGUGGGUACCAACCAAGAUUAGAUACCCUGGUAGUCCACCCUGUA
rnacentral:rRNA from 1 species